rnacentral:misc_RNA from 1 species
GAUGAAGAACGUAGCGAAAUGCGAUAAGUAAUGUGAAUUGCAGAAUUCAGUGAAUCAUCGUAUCUUUGAACGCACAUUGCGCCCGCCAGCACUCUGGCGGGCAUGCCUGUUCGAGCGUCAUUUCAACCAUCAAGCCCCCAGGGGCUUGUGCUGGGGCCCUGCGGCUGCCCGCAGGCCCUGAAAACCAGUGGCGGGCUCGCUAGUCACACCGAGCGCAGUAGCACAUCUCGCUCAGGGCGUGCGGCGGGCUCCUGCCGUGAAACCCCCCACUGUAACCCCAAAGGUUGACCUCGGAUCAGGUAGGAAUACCCGCUGAACUUAAGCAUAUCAAUAAGCGGAGGA